rnacentral:rRNA from 1 species
GACGAACGCUGGCGGCGUGCUUAACACAUGCAAGUCGAACGGCAACGCCGUGCGUUUUUGGUCUUCUCGAUUGGCGAACGCGUGCGUGACACGUGAGUAUCCUGCUCUUCUCUUUCGGAUAACUUCAGGAAACUGGGGCUACUACCAGAUAGGAUCUCCUGCUGCGUGGUGAGGGUGGGAUAUUCGCGGCUGGUGCGGUUGGACGCGCGGCUUAUGAGCUUGCUGGUUGGGGAGUUGCUUACCAAGUCUUGGGCGGGUACCCGGCCUGAGAGGGUGAACGGGCACCUUGGGACUGAGAUACGGCGCAGAGGCCAACGGGAGGCAGCAGUGGGGAAUAUGGCACAGUGGGCGGGCGCCGGAUGAAGAGACGCUGCGUGCGGGAUGCCGGCUUGCGGGUUGUAAAACGCUUUAGCCUGUGACGAAGCGUGAGUGACGGUACUGGGUAAAGAAGCACCGGCUAACUACGUG